CCUGAGAAAUCAGGUUCCUGGGCAACCAGGCCGUGCCACAGAUGGUGCAUGGUUGUCGUCAGCUCGUGCCGUGAGGUGUUGGGUUAAGUCCCGCAACGAGCGCAACCCUUGUCUUAGUUGCCAUCAUUAAGUUGGGCGACUCUAAAGAGGACUGCCGAUGACAAAUCGGAGGAAGGUGGGGAUGACGUCAAAUCAUCAUGCCCUUUAUGUCCUGGGCUACACACGUGCUACAAUGGUCGGUACAACGAGAAGCAAGUCAGCGAUGGCAAGCAAAUCUCUAAAAGCCGAUCCCAGUUCGGAUUGCAGGCUGCAACUCGCCUGCAUGAAGUCGGAGUUGCUAGUAAUCGCGGAUCAGAAUGCCGCGGUGAAUGCGUUCCCGGGUCUU
rnacentral:rRNA from 2 species